rnacentral:rRNA from 1 species
UCUUCCCUCUUUCUUCGUGCUUAACACAUGCAAGUCGAACGGAAAGGCCCUGCUUGCCGGGUACUCGAGUGGCGAACGGGUGAGUAACACGUGGGUGAUCUGCCCUGUACUUUGGGAUAAGCCUGGGAAACUGGGUCUAAUACCGAAUAUGACAAUUGUUUGGAUGCGAUUGUGGAAAGCUUUUGCGGUAUGGGAUGAGCUCGCGGCCUAUCAGCUUGUUGGUGGGGUAAUGGCCUACCAAGGCGUCGACGGGUAGCCGGCCUGAGAGGGUGUACGGCCACAUUGGGACGGAGAUACGGCCCAGACUCCGACGGGAGGCAGCAGUGGGGAAUAUUGCACAAUGGGCGCAAGCCUGAUGCAGCGACGCCGCGUGGGGGAUGACGGCCUUCGGGUUGUAAACUCCUGUCGCAACAGACGAAGCCUUUUGGUGACGGUAGGUUGAGAAGAAGCACCGGCUAACUACGUG